rnacentral:rRNA from 1 species
GACGAACGCUGGCGGCGUGCUUAACACAUGCAAGUCGAACGGUGAUGCUCCAGCUUGCUGGAGUGGAUCAGUGGCGAACGGGUGAGUAACACGUGAGCAACCUGCCCCAGACUCUGGAAUAAGCGCUGGAAACGGCGUCUAAUACUGGAUACGAAACUGGCCCGCAUGGGCAUGGUUUGGAAAGUUUUUCGGUUUGGGAUGGGCUCGCGGCCUAUCAGCUUGUUGGUGAGGUAAUGGCUCACCAAGGCGACGACGGGUAGCCGGCCUGAGAGGGCGACCGGCCACACUGGGACUGAGACACGGCCCAGACUCCUACGGGAGGCAGCAGUGGGGAAUAUUGCACAAUGGGCGAAAGCCUGAUGCAGCGACGCCGCGUGAGGGAUGACGGCCUUCGGGUUGUAAACCUCUUUCAGCAGGGAAGAAGCGAGAGUGACGGUACCUGCAGAAGAAGCACCGGCUAACUACGUG